GACGAACGCUGGCGGCGUGCUUAACACAUGCAAGUCGAACGGAAAGGCCCUGCUUUUGUGGGGGGCUCGAGUGGCGAACGGGUGAGUAACACGUGAGUAACCUGCCCUUGACUUUGGGAUAACUUCAGGAAACUGGGGCUAAUACCGGAUAGGAGCUCCUGCUGCAUGGUGGGGGUUGGAAAGUUUCGGCGGUUGGGGAUGGACUCGCGGCUUAUCAGCUUGUUGGUGGGGUAGUGGCUUACCAAGGCUUUGACGGGUAGCCGGCCUGAGAGGGUGACCGGCCACAUUGGGACUGAGAUACGGCCCAGACUCCAACGGGAGGCAGCAGUGGGGAAUAUUGCACAAUGGGCGGAAGCCUGAUGCAGCAACGCCGCGUGCGGGAUGACGGCCUUCGGGUUGUAAACCGCUUUCGCCUGUGACGAAGCGUGAGUGACGGUAAUGGGUAAAGAAGCACCGGCUAACUACGUG
rnacentral:rRNA from 1 species